AGUCCUUCGUACACCCAUAGAACAAAUAGAAUUGCUCUACCAGUUUCAAAUCGUUCGCCACUUAAGCACAUUCCACAGAACUCCCGAGAAUUCACGCCUCCUUUUACUUUUUCCAAGUAUUUCAAUCGCAAAUUGCAUAUCGAUAACGAACAAAAUGACAGAUGAUUGAUUUACGGUAACUAGCGCGCUGUAUAGGUUAAAAAACAUUUUGAAAAAUUGCAAAGAAAAAGAAAGCCUUGAUUUGAAAUACUUUUGAUACUAAUAACUUGCUAAGAAUGAAAGGCUAUAACAUAAACGAUAAUCACUUCAAACAUUACUUUGACGGUCAAAUUACGAAAUUAUAUUCACUACUACGAUUUCAACGACAAAUUUACCAACUUUUUCGCACAAAACCGGAACUAGCCCAAGGACCAUUUCUUCUCCAAGAAACAGGGAACAGAGGGACGGAAAUGACUACUACAAAAAGUAAUGUCUUUUCCUUAACAUUCAAUUUUAGUUGAAUCUAUUCACUUUUAACAUAACUAAUACAUAAGCAUGGAAAUUUUAAUUUGAUGCAUUAAAAAUACUAGGAAAAAUAAAAUUGUAGUUGUGAAAUCGAUUAAUUGCAUCGGAAACGGAAAGUAAGUGAAAACGGGGGAAAAAUUUCUCAGCGCCCCCUUUGUUUAGAUUUACGAUAGUAAAUAAUUAACAAUUAAUCAAAUAUGUCCAUAAGUGAAGAAAUAUUCUUGAACUAUCGAAAAAUUAAUCUACGACUAUCAUUGUCCUUAAAAGCAAUUAACGAAAAAAAGGAAAAAACGCGGGAGAACAAUGUUGAUAGAGAUGGCCUGAUUAGCGCCACCUCUGAUUGUAUAAUUGCAUUCUGUUUGACAUAUCAGUCAAUCAAUAUAUAUGACAUAUAAUCUAUAUUAUGUGUUUUUCUCUUAUAAAACCUUGCUGCCAAAUCUUAAGAAAAAUUGACGAAUAAAAGGCUAUGUCUAAGAAUCAAGAUGAAUUAUGCGAAAGUGAAUUACAAAAAAAUUCGGCAAGCAUAAAGAGGGGGGAAUGAAGAUCCCGCAAGCAGUUUUACAGGCUAGUGAACAUGCCAGAACCUCGAAUCUUGUGUGGCUGGAGGAAUGUGGGCACACCAGUUUCGAGAGUCAUUCAGAGAAUUGGUCUCCCGUCUACCAAUUUCCCUUAGAAUGGAAAGCGCGGGAAACCAUCUACGUCUCUAACCUAUAAAUAUGCAUUGAUGAUCCAUGAAACGUGAUCGUUGGCACAAUACCAUCGAUCAAUGUUUGCAUAACUAAUUACAGCAAACAUUAAAUAAGUUGGACUUGGAGAUAUUAUCGUUAUUACUAUUAUAAAAUGCCGACCUCAGAUGUUUAUAUAUGUUUAAGCCUUCUUUUCUUUUUUGCUUAGUUACUGAGACAGGAUGCGAUUAUUCAUAGUGGAGGCCUGGUUCGUUUACACUGCUAUUCCUCUUGUAUAUUUUGAAAAAUCCUCGCAAAGAGUCGGAUGGCUAUUUUCGUGCGCCCGAGACUCAUGAUCGAAAAAAUCUUCACUGCUAUUUUUUUACGUCAGAAAGUUUCUAAGGAUUCCAGGUUCUACCACUUAUUUGAUUGAAAAUUGAAUCAGUACCUGUCCCAGCUGCGGCAAGGGAACAUUUUCCAACGUCGAAGCGACGAAGAAAGCAGCCGGAUGCAGGAGAGGCGAGGGACGUCAUUAUCUUAUCUCAAACCAUUUCCUGUCAACCUAGGGCCGCUUUUCGUGGUAAUCACACGCACACGCCCACGCGGUGGAGUGUACAAGCUUAUUUGUGUUCACAUAUACAUAUCAGCCAGUGCAUGCACUAAUGCCCGGCCAAGUGCCAGGGAGUAUUGCUUCCGGUGCGUACACUUGCGUCCACCUCGGUGUUGGUGCGUUUGUGCACGUGUAUACGCGUUCGACGUUACAUCUGGUGAGGCACUGUGAACCCGAUAAUCGGUUUCCUCCUCCGGUAGCCUGCAGGAACCAGACGCAAAUAAACGCCGCGUUAUACGACUCACGCCGUGUGGUGGAUUCUUAGAAACGGAUGUUUCCUUUGAAUCUGGCUCUGUAGAUCCGAGAUAUGGUCUCGACAAUCGAUAUACCUUGCUAAGUGGAAACGUUAACCUCUUAGCAGCGGUUUCCUUUGAACAAAAUGGUCUAGAAAUUCAGAGAAAUGGGGACGAUAUCAUUUCACCGAAUGACACGUAUUUAGCUCCGAAAUUCUUAGCGGAAAGAUAGGAAAGAAUAUUAAUGGGGAUCUAGGUAGUCGUGAGAAAAGAGCAUCGUGACAGAGUCAACGAGGCGUACUAUAGAAUCGUGAUUGAGUAAUGCGCUGCGACUUCCGACUGCAUCACGAAAUACGUAAUGCCACUGCCAUUAAGUAUGCACACCUGUUAAGGUCAUCAACAGGUAUCACUUACGUCAUCUUAGCGUACACAUUACUGGUGUGACUGCCAUAGUGAUACCGCAUGCACCUUCCCUAUUCUCUUUCCCGCCGGCCAUCGGUCGAUAAUCGCUUUAAUGAGGAUUCGUUCAGCGAUGCACCAACUCAAAAAGUCCAGAUUCAUACCGAUCAAUAGCUUAUUCCCCGAUUCAGCUAUAAGUUUCUUGAAGGGAUACAGCAGAAGUGCUUAAAGUACUUAUGUUAUGGUUACGGAACAAAAGCUUAGAUGUUAUAUGAGGGCAAAAAUUUAUGGUCGAGGUAUAAAAUACUUAUGUUGUGGUCAUGAAACGAAAUCUUAGAUUUUGUACAAGGGCAAGUUUAUGAGAGGUAUAAAGUACUUAUGUUGAGGCCAUGGAACAAUUAGGUUUUAUAGGAGGAUAAAAAUUUAUAGCUUUAGGCUUAAGGACAAUUUAAAAAUAUGAAUAAUUUCGUUUCUCAUUACAGUAUAUGUACAUCCAAAAUUUGUCUUUAUACGCGAUGUGAAAACAUUAGAUAAAUUUAUAGGAAUAAUACCUAUAUAUAUCUAACAAAGUUUCGUAGUUAACUAGUACCGUCACUUGGCGAAUUAAUUUAUAACUUUGCUAUAUUUGUUGCAAUGAGAUAAGGAUGUAAUAAUAUAAGGACGGAUUUAACAUAGUAAACGUUCGUACCCUUUGUCUAUUCCAAUUUCUGGCUAAAUAUAGGGUACGACCCACGUCUCACGAUUACCAUAGCAGACUAUUUAAUGCAAUCUGUAUACCUGUGUUCUAAUAUUAGAUACUGAGUCUAAUAAAGGUGUUCAUAUAAUAGUUAUUUUGUGAAAUCUAUAAGCACAAGUUAAUUCCAACGAUAGUAUUUAUUUUCCGACUACUACUACGGUAGACUUUUAAUGCGAUCCACAGAACCAUAUUCUAAUAUCAAAUAUUCUAGUUAUAUAAUAAAAAAAGAUACUCUUUAUCUUCAAAAAGGUCGACUACGUCAUUCUAGUAAGAUUCAUUAGCAUCUUGCGUGACGCUUUGAAGCUCGAUCGAAUAUUAAUCCAUUAUACUUGUCGUACACAUAGUAUAGUCGAAGAGGAUUUGUAUUCCGCACACGGAUAUUGAAAAAUGUAAAUGUAACGAGGAAUCGAUAUACGAGGAUCUAUGGUAGGUUCUUACGUAAAUCUACAGCCGCCAUUGAUCGAAAUGAGCGUGGAGUAGCAAGGACGCCGUAGUACGCUCACCUUAUCACGCUCCCACGCAAUCGAAUCGAAAUUCGUCUCGUGGCUCGUCGAAGGCCACCGACACCAACCAGAGAGGCCCUUUUCGUCCUCUGUCUCCCUUUCUCUUUAUCUCUAUUUCUACCUACUCAUUCUUUCUGCAGGCGACGAUUCUCUAGGGGUCGCGAUAAAAUGGCCCUGCGCCGUCCGCGUGAUCGAACGUGAAAAUCUUCAACGACAGCAGCCCAAAUGAAUGGAAUGCCAACCCACGCCCGAGAGCCGCCUGAUAGGCUGCCCGAUCCGAGGGUGACGAGUCAUAUGACGCCGGUCCUGGCCGCAACACGUGCACGCGAGUGUGCGU